GGUUAAGCGACUAAGCGUACACGGUGGAUGCCCUGGCAGUCAGAGGCGAUGAAGGACGUGCUAAUCUGCGAUAAGCGUCGGUAAGGUGAUAUGAACCGUUAUAACCGGCGAUUUCCGAAUGGGGAAACCCAGUGUGAUUCGUCACACUAUCAUUAACUGAAUCCAUAGGUUAAUGAGGCGAACCGGGGGAACUGAAACAUCUAAGUACCCCGAGGAAAAGAAAUCAACCGAGAUUCCCCCAGUAGCGGCGAGCGAACGGGGAGCAGCCCAGAGCCUGAAUCAGUGUGUGUGUUAGUGGAAGCGUCUGGAAAGGCGUGCGAUACAGGGUGACAGCCCCGUACACAAAAAUGCACAUGCUGUGAGCUCGAUGAGUAGGGCGGGACACGUGGUAUCCUGUCUGAAUAUGGGGGGACCAUCCUCCAAGGCUAAAUACUCCUGACUGACCGAUAGUGAACCAGUACCGUGAGGGAAAGGCGAAAAGAACCCCGGCGAGGGGAGUGAAAAAGAACCUGAAACCGUGUACGUACAAGCAGUGGGAGCACGCUUAGGCGUGUGACUGCGUACCUUUUGUAUAAUGGGUCAGCGACUUAUAUUCUGUAGCAAGGUUAACCGAAUAGGGGAGCCGAAGGGAAACCGAGUCUUAACUGGGCGUUAAGUUGCAGGGUAUAGACCCGAAACCCGGUGAUCUAGCCAUGGGCAGGUUGAAGGUUGGGUAACACUAACUGGAGGACCGAACCGACUAAUGUUGAAAAAUUAGCGGAUGACUUGUGGCUGGGGGUGAAAGGCCAAUCAAACCGGGAGAUAGCUGGUUCUCCCCGAAAGCUAUUUAGGUAGCGCCUCGUGAAUUCAUCUCCGGGGGUAGAGCACUGUUUCGGCAAGGGGGUCAUCCCGACUUACCAACCCGAUGCAAACUGCGAAUACCGGAGAAUGUUAUCACGGGAGACACACGGCGGGUGCUAACGUCCGUCGUGAAGAGGGAAACAACCCAGACCGCCAGCUAAGGUCCCAAAGUCAUGGUUAAGUGGGAAACGAUGUGGGAAGGCCCAGACAGCCAGGAUGUUGGCUUAGAAGCAGCCAUCAUUUAAAGAAAGCGUAAUAGCUCACUGGUCGAGUCGGCCUGCGCGGAAGAUGUAACGGGGCUAAACCAUGCACCGAAGCUGCGGCAGCGACACUAUGUGUUGUUGGGUAGGGGAGCGUUCUGUAAGCCUGUGAAGGUGUACUGUGAGGUAUGCUGGAGGUAUCAGAAGUGCGAAUGCUGACAUAAGUAACGAUAAAGCGGGUGAAAAGCCCGCUCGCCGGAAGACCAAGGGUUCCUGUCCAACGUUAAUCGGGGCAGGGUGAGUCGACCCCUAAGGCGAGGCCGAAAGGCGUAGUCGAUGGGAAACAGGUUAAUAUUCCUGUACUUGGUGUUACUGCGAAGGGGGGACGGAGAAGGCUAUGUUGGCCGGGCGACGGUUGUCCCGGUUUAAGCGUGUAGGCUGGUUUUCCAGGCAAAUCCGGAAAAUCAAGGCUGAGGCGUGAUGACGAGGCACUACGGUGCUGAAGCAACAAAUGCCCUGCUUCCAGGAAAAGCCUCUAAGCAUCAGGUAACAUCAAAUCGUACCCCAAACCGACACAGGUGGUCAGGUAGAGAAUACCAAGGCGCUUGAGAGAACUCGGGUGAAGGAACUAGGCAAAAUGGUGCCGUAACUUCGGGAGAAGGCACGCUGAUAUGUAGGUGAAGUCCCUCGCGGAUGGAGCUGAAAUCAGUCGAAGAUACCAGCUGGCUGCAACUGUUUAUUAAAAACACAGCACUGUGCAAACACGAAAGUGGACGUAUACGGUGUGACGCCUGCCCGGUGCCGGAAGGUUAAUUGAUGGGGUCAGCGCAAGCGAAGCUCUUGAUCGAAGCCCCGGUAAACGGCGGCCGUAACUAUAACGGUCCUAAGGUAGCGAAAUUCCUUGUCGGGUAAGUUCCGACCUGCACGAAUGGCGUAAUGAUGGCCAGGCUGUCUCCACCCGAGACUCAGUGAAAUUGAACUCGCUGUGAAGAUGCAGUGUACCCGCGGCAAGACGGAAAGACCCCGUGAACCUUUACUAUAGCUUGACACUGAACAUUGAGCCUUGAUGUGUAGGAUAGGUGGGAGGCUUUGAAGUGUGGACGCCAGUCUGCAUGGAGCCGACCUUGAAAUACCACCCUUUAAUGUUUGAUGUUCUAACGUUGACCCGUGAUCCGGGUUGCGGACAGUGUCUGGUGGGUAGUUUGACUGGGGCGGUCUCCUCCUAAAGAGUAACGGAGGAGCACGAAGGUUGGCUAAUCCUGGUCGGACAUCAGGAGGUUAGUGCAAUGGCAUAAGCCAGCUUGACUGCGAGCGUGACGGCGCGAGCAGGUGCGAAAGCAGGUCAUAGUGAUCCGGUGGUUCUGAAUGGAAGGGCCAUCGCUCAACGGAUAAAAGGUACUCCGGGGAUAACAGGCUGAUACCGCCCAAGAGUUCAUAUCGACGGCGGUGUUUGGCACCUCGAUGUCGGCUCAUCACAUCCUGGGGCUGAAGUAGGUCCCAAGGGUAUGGCUGUUCGCCAUUUAAAGUGGUACGCGAGCUGGGUUUAGAACGUCGUGAGACAGUUCGGUCCCUAUCUGCCGUGGGCGCUGGAGAACUGAGGGGGGCUGCUCCUAGUACGAGAGGACCGGAGUGGACGCAUCACUGGUGUUCGGGUUGUCAUGCCAAUGGCACUGCCCGGUAGCUAAAUGCGGAAGAGAUAAGUGCUGAAAGCAUCUAAGCACGAAACUUGCCCCGAGAUGAGUUCUCCCUGACUCCUUGAGAGUCCUGAAGGAACGUUGAAGACGACGACGUUGAUAGGCCGGAUGUGUAAGCGCAGCGAUGCGUUGAGCUAACCGGUACUAAUGAACCGUGAGGCUUAACCUU
rnacentral:rRNA from 1 species